rnacentral:rRNA from 1 species
UACGGAGGGUGCGAGCGUUGUCCGGAAUCACUGGGCGUAAAGGGCGCGUAGGUGGCGCGGGCAGUCAACGGUGAAAGUUCGGGGCUCAACCCUGAAUCGGCCGUCGAUACUCCUGGGCUCGAGCACUGUAGAGGCAGAUGGAAUUCCGGGGUGUAGCGGUGGAAUGCGUAGAGAUCCGGAAGAACACCGGUGGCGAAGGCGGUCUGCUGGGGCAGUUGCUGGACACUGAGGCGCGAC